rnacentral:lncRNA from 1 species
AGGCUGCAUGCAUAUGAGAGGAGGUAGGCUUCUGAAGAUAUUGACUUAAGUGCUGGACCGCAAAGGCUAAGUGAGGUCUAGUGUGGGUGAGGAAAUUAAGCUUCCUCACUAAGCACCUAUAGACUUCAGGAGAAGGAAGAGGAUCCCCUAAAUCCAGUUUUAGUUUAACAGAGAGGUCAAGAGGGCAAGUAACAUGGGAAACAUCCUCACAGUGAUAGGCUUUGAGAAGGUCAGUGACAAACUUCUUCUGAUGGAGAAGGAGCCCAGCAGAAUGAUAACUGACCUCAAUACCAAGGAAGUAGUUGAGCACCCCCAAAUCCUGGAUUUUAAACUCAUGAUCCAGGAAAGUCUUCAAAGCAGUGAUUUUCUCCAAAUCAUUACCAGUAAGAAUGAUGUCAUCAACAUACACAGCUAACAAGACAAUAGAAGAGCCAGAUUUCUUAAGAAAAAGAGAGUAUUCAUUGAGAGAAGAAGAAAACCCUUUAGAACAUAAGGCCUGGGAGAGCUUGGCAUACCACUGAAGCCUGCCUUAACCCAUACAAAGAUUUCUGAAGCAAAUAGACCAAAGGAGAAGAAGAAGAGGUAGAACAGGCAACAUCCAGUCCAGGAGGCAGUUUCAUAUAAACUUCCUCAGCUAGGUGACCAUGUAAGAAUGCAUUAUUCACAUCAAGUUGAAAGAGAGACCAAUUCUUUUUAACAGCUACAGCAAUGAGGGAUUUGAUAGUUGAGAACUUGACAACUGGAGAAAGGUCUCAGUGAAGUCUACCCCCUCAACUUUGGUGUCACCCCUAACAACCAGCCUAGCCUUAUGUCUUUCCACAGACCCAUCAGCCCUAUAUUUGAUCUUAUAGACCCACUUGCAACCAAUAGGUCUUUUACCAGGGGGAAGGGGAACUAUUGACCAGGUAUGAUUGGCCUCCAAGGCUGCAAAUUCCUUGCACAUUGCCUCCUGCCAGGCAGGAAUAGAAGCAGCUUGCUGAUAGGUGGUAGGCUCUGCUUCUGGACUGCUAACCAAGGUGAGAAGACAAAUGGAAAGGGGGACAACAGACCAGGUAUGAUUGGCCUCCAAAGCUGCAAAUUCCUUGGCCAUUGCCUCCUACCAGGCAGGAAUGGAAGCAGCCUGCUGGUAGGAGGUAGGCUCUGACUCUGGACUGCUAACCAAGGUGUGAAGGCAAGUGGUAGAAGAACUGGGGGCAGAGAGAGAAGGGGGAAGAGUACAGACAUAUUGGGCUCAACUUUCGGAAGCUGCAAAUUCCUUGGCCAUUGCCUCCUACCAGGCAGGAAUGGAAGCAGCCUGCUGGUAGGAGGUAGGCUCUGACUCUGGACUGCUAACCAAGGUGCGAAGGCAAGUGGAAGAAGAACUGGGGGCAGAAAGAGAAGGAGGAAGAGUACAGACAUAUUGCUGAAUGUGGGCAGGAAGGACAUGUGCCCUAUUGGAUCUUCUGGGAGCAGAUGAAGAAUGCACUGAAGAAGUAUGUGAUGGAGAGGAAGGGGAGGAAGAGGGAGAGGCAAGAGGUUGAUGGGUGGAAGAAGAAGAUGGAUUGGGCAGAAAGUCAUCAACAGGAGGAACCCAGGCAGAAGAAGGAUUGAGAUGGGGAAAGGAGCCAUGGGAAGAAUUCCCUGGAGAGGCAAAAGGAAAGACAUCCUGAUGAAAAAUGACAUCCCUGGAGAUUAGGGUAAGCUUAGACUUCAAGUUAUACAGCUUGUAACCCUUCUUAGCCAAUGGGUAACCCAGGAAAACACAGGGAUCAGCUCUGGGCUGGAAUUUAUC